rnacentral:rRNA from 1 species
CCCUUAGAUGUUCUGGGCCGCACGCGUGCUACACUGAGUGGAUCAGCGGGUCAGGUUGCGCGAAAGCGUUUCCUAAUCUUUAAAUCCGCUCGUGAUGGGGAUUGACGGUUGCAAUUUUCUGUCAUGAACGAGGAAUACCUUGUAAGCGCGGGUCAUCAUCCCGCGCUGAAUACGUCCCUGCCCUUUGUACACACCGCCCGUCGCUCCUACCGAUUGGGUGGUCCGGUGAGGCUUUGGGAUCUGGGCGGAAAGAGCGUUUCGCUGUUUCUGCUCGGAAAACUCAGUCGAACCUUAUCAUUUAGAGGAAGGAGAAGUCGUAACA